UAGCCAACCAAGUAUUAAAGGCGACGCCUGCCCAGUGAAAAUUAAACGGCCGCGGUAUCCUAACCGUGCAAAGGUAGCAUAAUCAUUUGUCUAUUAAUUGUAGACCUGUAUGAAAGGCAAAAUGAGGGCCCAACUGUCUCUUAUAACAAAUCAAUUAAACUGAUCUCCUAGUACAAAAGCUAGAAUACUAACAUAAGACCAGAAGACCCUGUGAAGCUUUAACUAACCUAUUAAACCCAAUAAUAACUACUUUUGGUUGGGGCGACCUUGGAAUAAAAAAGAACUUCCAACCUAUGACUUCCUCAUAAAACAAGGCAAACAAGCCAAUACUAGACCCAGCACAGCUGACAAUUGAAACAAGUUACUCCAGGGAUAACAGCGCUAUCUUCUUUAAGAGCCCAUAUCAAAAAGAAGGUUUACGACCUCGAUGUUGGAUCAGGACACCCCAGUAAUGCAACCGUUACUAAAGGUUCGUUUGUUCAACGAUUAAUAGUCCUACGUGAUCUGAGUUCAGACCGGAGCAAUCCAG
rnacentral:rRNA from 1 species